UAGGGAAUCUUCGGCAAUGGGGGCAACCCUGACCGAGCAACGCCGCGUGAGUGAAGAAGGUUUUCGGAUCGUAAAGCUCUGUUGUAAGAGAAGAACGUGUGUGAGAGUGGAAAGUUCACACAGUGACGGUAACUUACCAGAAAGGGACGGCUAAUUACGUGCCAGCAGCCGCGGUAAUACGUAGGUCCCGAGCGUUGUCCGGAUUUAUUGGGCGUAAAGCGAGCGCAGGCGGUUUAAUAAGUCUGAAGUUAAAGGCAGUGGCUUAACCAUUGUUCGCUUUGGAAACUGUUAAACUUGAGUGCAGAAGGGGAGAGUGGAAUUCCAUGUGUAGCGAUGAAAUGCGUAGAUAUAUGGAGGAACACCGGUGGCGAAAGCGGCUCUCUGGUCUGUAACUGACGCUGAGGCUCGAAAGCGUGGGGAGCAAACAGG
rnacentral:rRNA from 1 species